CCAUCAAGGUGGCUGGGGCACAACAAAUGGCACCAGGACAUUCCCUCAUUGUCAUUGUUAUCAAGUUAAUUGUCAACUGUUAAUUAUGUUAAGCUAUCCUGUACCCAUCUGUGUAAGAGAAGCACAUGUCCAUCAUUUCACUUUUUAUCCUAUCCCAGAGGUUUCCUCACUUUGCUUAAUCCC